rnacentral:rRNA from 1 species
GCAAUGAGAGUUGUGCUAAGGUAGCGCGAUAAUUUGUCUCUUAAUUGGAGAAUGGUAUGAAAGGUUUGUCAUAGAGCGGUUGUCUCUAAAAAAUUAAGUGAAAUUUCUUUUUAAAUGAAAAGGUUUAAAUAAAAAUAAAAGACGAGAAGACCCUGUCGAGCUAGAUUAAGAAGAAAGCUAGUCUUGGCUAGCUUGUUUUGUAAGAGUAGUUGGGGAAGGUUGGACUUUAAAUAAUAAGUUCAUAUUAAACAUAGAUCCUUUUUGAAAGAAAGUUGGCAAAAGCUACCGGAGGGAUAACAGCGUGAUUUUUCUUAAGAGAUCGUAUUGAGGGAAAAGUUUGCGACCUCGAUGUUGGAUUAU